rnacentral:lncRNA from 1 species
ACAAUGAAUGAUUGUCUUUCUUAUUCUAAACUCUAUUUUGCCAGGAAUUGAGCUAUUCUACCUUUAUUUUGUUUCUGAUUACAUCCAAUUUCCUCUGUCUGAAGAACCGCCUGAAACAUUUCUCACAGAGAACGUGGUCCCAAUCCGGACCCCAGAGAAAGAUCUUGGAUCUCAUGCAAGACAGAAUUCAGGUGUGACUUGUCCACUCUCCCAGCACCACAAGCUUUCUCCUCCUAUUGAAUGUGGCUAG